rnacentral:rRNA from 1 species
ACCGGGGCUAAUACCGAAUAUUGAAACAUAAGUGGCAUCACUGAGUUUUGAAAGAAUUUCGGUGGAGGAUGACUUCGCGGCCUAUCAGCUUGUUGGUGAGGUAAUGGCUCACCAAGGCGACGACGGGUAGCCGGCCUGAGAGGGCGACCGGCCACACUGGGACUGAGACACGGCCCAGACUCCUACGGGAGGCAGCAGUGGGGAAUAUUGGGCAAUGGACGAAAGUCUGACCCAGCGACGCCGCGUGCGGGAUGAAGGCCUUCGGGUUGUAAACCGCUUUCAGCAGGGAAGAAGCGAAAGUGACGGUACCUGCAAAAGAAGCACCGGCUAACUAUGUGCCAGCAGCCGCGGUAAUACAUAGGGUGCAAGCGUUGUCCGGAAUUAUUGGGCGUAAAGAGCUCGUAGGUCGUUAGUUACGUCGGGUGUGAAAAUCUGGGGCUCAACCCCAGACCUGCACUCGAUACGGGCUAGCUAGAGUUUGGUAGGGGAGACUGGAAUUCCUGGUGUAGCGGUGGAAUGCGCAGAUAUCAGGAGGAACACCAAUGGCGAAGGCAGGUCUCUGGGCCAAUACUGACACUGAGGAGCGAAAGCGCGGGGAGCGAACAGGAUUAGAUACCCUGGUAGUCCGCGCCGUAAACGAUGGGCGCUAGUUGUGGGGACCUUCCACGGUCUCUGCGACGCAGCUAACGCAUUAAGCGCCCCGCCUGGGGAGUACGAUCGCAAGAUUAAAACUCAAAGGAAUUGACGGGGCCCCGCACAAGCA